AAAUAUGUAUCCAUUGUUGGUCAUUUUACUUUUGGCGAGUCCAUAUGGAAUGAUUUUCACAGGUUUUGGAAUUCCAAUAUCAGAGGCACCAAAUUCGAAGACCUUGGAAGAAUGUGAAAACAAUAUCUCCAUUCAAUGCGCUCGGGAAGUUGGCAAAGGUAUUUUUGAAGGUGGGACUGUAACUGAAGGUUGUUGUUAUGCUCUUGUCUAUUUAGGCAAAACAUGUCAUGAUCUAUUCUUUCAUUAUUCUCUUGCGUACAAAUCAAAUGUCAACAAAUCUAAAGCUUUGGCAAAGAGUACACAAGUUUGGAACCAAUGUAAUGAAAUUACAAUUUCACCUACCUCUUUUGCCUUUUAA
rnacentral:lncRNA from 1 species